GGCGGCAUGCCUAACACAUGCAAGUCGAACGGAACUAAGGGGCUUGCCCUUAGUUAGUGGCGGACGGGUGAGUAACGCGUGAGCAACCUGCCUUUCAGUGGGGAAUAAUAUCCUGAAAAGGGUACUAAUACCGCAUAACGUAACGAGAUCGCAUGGUUUUGUUACCAAAGAUUUAUCGCUGAGAGAUGGGGCUCGCGUCCGAUUAGCCAGUUGGUGGGGUAACGGCCUACCAAAGCUACGAUCGGUAGCCGGACUGAGAGGUUGAACGGCCACAUUGGGACUGAGACACGGCCCAGACUCCUACGGGAGGCAGCAGUGGGGGAUAUUGCGCAAUGGGGGAAACCCUGACGCAGCAAUGCCGCGUGAAGGAUGAAGGUCUUCGGAUUGUAAACUUCUUUUGUCAGGGACGAAAAUUGACGGUACCUGACGAAUAAGCUCCGGCUAACUACGUGCCAGCAGCGGC
rnacentral:rRNA from 1 species